rnacentral:lncRNA from 1 species
CAUCAUUGAGUAUUUUUUAGUAGUGCAUUUUUUUUGUAUUGUGGAUCUUAAUAUAUUUUUCUAUAUUUUUUAAUCAAAGAGUAAGAAGUUGAACAUAGUGUACAAGAUUUGUUACAUUCAAAGAUCUUAUAGACUUUUGAAACUAAGGUAUUUUGCAAAUAAAAGUAUCACAUGUGCAAUAAUACUUAAUAAUGUUGGUUCUUCACCA